UGGGGAAUAUUGGACAAUGGGCGAAAGCCUGAUCCAGCAACGCCGCGUGAGGGAUGACGGCCUUCGGGUUGUAAACCUCUUUCAGUAGGGACGAAGCUAACGUGACGGUACCUACAGAAGAAGCACCGGCCAACUACGUGCCAGCAGCCGCGGUAAUACGUAGGGUGCGAGCGUUGUCCGGAAUUAUUGGGCGUAAAGGGCUCGUAGGCGGUUUGUCACGUCGGGAGUGAAAACUCGGGGCUUAACUCCGAGCCUGCUUCCGAUACGGGCUGACUAGAGGUAUGCAGGGGAGAACGGAAUUCCUGGUGUAGCGGUGAAAUGCGCAGAUAUCAGGAGGAACACCGGUGGCGAAGGCGGUUCUCUGGGCAUUACCUGACGCUGAGGAGCGAAAGUGUGGGGAGCGAACAGGAUUAGAUACCCUGGUAGUCCACACCGUAAACGUUGGGCGCUAGGUGUGGGACUCAUUCCACGAGUUCCGUGCCGCAGCUAACGCAUUAAGCGCCCCG
rnacentral:rRNA from 1 species